rnacentral:rRNA from 1 species
AGAGUUUGAUCAUGGCUCAGGAUGAACGCUGGCGGCGUGCUUAACACAUGCAAGUCGAACGAACCUUCGGGUUAGUGGCGGACGGGUGAGUAACGCGUGGGAAUCUGCCCUCAGGAGGGGGAUAACGGCUGGAAACGGCCGCUAAUACCCCAUAUGCCGAGAGGUGAAAUGAAUUUCGCCUGAGGAUGAGCCCGCGUCUGAUUAGCUAGUUGGUGGGGUAAGAGCCUACCAAGGCGACGAUCAGUAGCUGGUCUGAGAGGAUGAUCAGCCACGCUGGGACUGAGACACGGCCCAGACUCCUACGGGAGGCAGCAGUGGGGAAUUUUCCGCAAUGGGCGAAAGCCUGACGGAUCAACGCCGCGUGAGGGACGAAGGCCUCUGGGCUGUAAACCUCUUUUCUCAAGGAAGAAGAUCUGACGGUACUUGAGGAAU